GACGAACCGUGCGAACGUUGUUCGGAAUCACUGGGCUUAAAGGGCGCGUAGGCGGUCGGGCCAGUCCGGGGUGAAAUCCUGCAGCUCAACUGUAGAAGUGCCUUGGAUACUGCCCGGCUCGAGGGAGGUAGGGGUCUGUGGAACUUCUGGUGGAGCGGUGAAAUGCGUUGAUAUCAGAAGGAACGCCGGUGGCGAAAGCGACAGACUGGACCUUUUCUAACGCUGAGGCGCGAAAGCUAGGGGAGCAAACGGG
rnacentral:rRNA from 1 species